GCCAGCAGCCAUGUCACCCUGCAACUUACAAUUGGCAGCCAGCUGAAGCUGAGCAGGUGUGAGCCUGGUCAGUACCUUGAUAGGAGACCUCCUGGGAAAAACUAGGGUUGCAGUUA
rnacentral:rRNA from 1 species